rnacentral:rRNA from 1 species
UUCUAGUGGCGGAGGGUGAGUACACGUAAGAAUUUACCUUUAGGAGGGGGAUAACAACUGGAAACGGUUGCUAAUACCCCAUAUGCUUUCGAGUGAAAUGGGUUUCCGCCUAAAGAGAAGCUUGCGGCUGAUUAGCUUGUUGGUGAGGUAAUGGCUCACCAAGGCGACGAUCAGUAUCUGGUUUGAGAGGAUGAUCAGACACACUGGAACUGAGACACGGUCCAGACUCCUACGGGAGGCAGCACUGGGGAAUUUUCCGCAAUGGGCGAAAGCCUGACGGAGCAAUACCGCGUGAAGGAUGACGGCCUAUGGGUUGUAAACUUCUUUUUUCAGGGAGGAAUCAAUGACGUGUACCUGAAGAAUAAGCAUCGGCUAACUCCGUGCCAGCAGCCGCGGUAAGACGGAGGAUGCAAGUGUUAUCCGGAAUCACUGGGCGUAAAGCGUCUGUAGGUGGUCAAAUAAGUCAACUGUUAAAUCUUGAGGCUCAACCUCAAAAUCGCAGUCGAAACUAUUAAACUAAAGCAUAGUAUGGGUAAAGGGAAUUUCCAGUGGAGCGGUGAAAUGCGUAUAAAUUGGAAGGAACACCGAUGGCGAAGGCACUUUACUGGGACUAUUACUAUAUCUCAC